CUACUCUUGACAUCCAGAGAACUUUGCAGAGAUGCAUUGGUGCCUUCGGGAACUCUGAGACAGGUGCUGCAUGGCUGUCGUCAGCUCGUGUUGUGAAAUGUUGGGUUAAGUCCCGCAACGAGCGCAACCCUUAUCCUUUGUUGCCAGCGGUUCGGCCGGGAACUCAAAGGAGACUGCCAGUGAUAAACUGGAGGAAGGUGGGGAUGACGUCAAGUCAUCAUGGCCCUUACGAGUAGGGCUACACACGUGCUACAAUGGCGUAUACAAAGAGAAGCGACCUCGCGAGAGCAAGCGGACCUCAUAAAGUACGUCGUAGUCCGGAUUGGAGUCUGCAACUCGACUCCA
rnacentral:rRNA from 1 species